rnacentral:rRNA from 2 species
GGGUUGUGAGGUUAAGCGACUAAGCGUACACGGUGGAUGCCCUGGCAGUCAGAGGCGAUGAAGGGCGUGCUAAUCUGCGAUAAGCGCCGGUAAGGUGAUAUGAACCGUUAUAACCGGCGAUACCCGAAUGGGGAAACCCAGUGUGAUUCGUCACACUAUCAUUAACUGAAUCCAUAGGUUAAUGAGGCGAACCGGGGGAACUGAAACAUCUAAGUACCCCGAGGAAAAGAAAUCAACCGAGAUUCCCCCAGUAGCGGCGAGCGAACGGGGAGGAGCCCAGAGCCUGAAUCAGCAUGUGUGUUAGUGGAAGCGUCUGGAAAGGCGCGCGAUACAGGGUGACAGCCCCGUACACAAAAGCGCAUGUGCUGUGAGCUCGAUGAGUAGGGCGGGACACGUGGUAUCCUGUCUGAAUAUGGGGGGACCAUCCUCCAAGGCUAAAUACUCCUGACUGACCGAUAGUGAACCAGUACCGUGAGGGAAAGGCGAAAAGAACCCCGGCGAGGGGAGUGAAAAAGAACCUGAAACCGUGUACGUACAAGCAGUGGGAGCACAGGUUUACCUGUGUGACUGCGUACCUUUUGUAUAAUGGGUCAGCGACUUAUAUUCUGUAGCAAGGUUAACCGUAUAGGGGAGCCGAAGGGAAACCGAGUCUUAACCGGGCGUUAAGUUGCAGGGUAUAGACCCGAAACCCGGUGAUCUAGCCAUGGGCAGGUUGAAGGUUGGGUAACACUAACUGGAGGACCGAACCGACUAAUGUUGAAAAAUUAGCGGAUGACCUGUGGCUGGGGGUGAAAGGCCAAUCAAACCGGGAGAUAGCUGGUUCUCCCCGAAAGCUAUUUAGGUAGCGCCUCGUGAAUUCAUCUCCGGGGGUAGAGCACUGUUUCGGCUAGGGGGCCAUCCCGGCUUACCAACCCGAUGCAAACUGCGAAUACCGGAGAAUGUUAUCACGGGAGACACACGGCGGGUGCUAACGUCCGUCGUGAAGAGGGAAACAACCCAGACCGCCAGCUAAGGUCCCAAAGUCAUGGUUAAGUGGGAAACGAUGUGGGAAGGCCCAGACAGCCAGGAUGUUGGCUUAGAAGCAGCCAUCAUUUAAAGAAAGCGUAAUAGCUCACUGGUCGAGUCGGCCUGCGCGGAAGAUGUAACGGGGCUAAACCAUGCACCGAAGCUGCGGCAGCGACACUAUGUGUUGUUGGGUAGGGGAGCGUUCUGUAAGCCUGUGAAGGUGUGUCGUGAGGCAUGCUGGAGGUAUCAGAAGUGCGAAUGCUGACAUAAGUAACGAUAAAGCGGGUGAAAAGCCCGCUCGCCGGAAGACCAAGGGUUCCUGUCCAACGUUAAUCGGGGCAGGGUGAGUCGACCCCUAAGGCGAGGCCGAAAGGCGUAGUCGAUGGGAAACGGGUUAAUAUUCCCGUACUUGGUGUUACUGCGAAGGGGGGACGGAGAAGGCUAUGUUGGCCGGGCGACGGUUGUCCCGGUUUAAGCGUGUAGGUGUGUGUUCCAGGUAAAUCCGGUUCACUUUAACACUGAGGCGUGACGACGAGGCACUACGGUGCUGAAGCAACAAAUGCCCUGCUUCCAGGAAAAGCCUCUAAGCAUCAGGUAACAUCAAAUCGUACCCCAAACCGACACAGGUGGUCAGGUAGAGAAUACCAAGGCGCUUGAGAGAACUCGGGUGAAGGAACUAGGCAAAAUGGUGCCGUAACUUCGGGAGAAGGCACGCUGACACGUAGGUGAAGUGAUUUACUCAUGGAGCUGAAGUCAGUCGAAGAUACCAGCUGGCUGCAACUGUUUAUUAAAAACACAGCACUGUGCAAACACGAAAGUGGACGUAUACGGUGUGACGCCUGCCCGGUGCCGGAAGGUUAAUUGAUGGGGUCAGCGCAAGCGAAGCUCCUGAUCGAAGCCCCGGUAAACGGCGGCCGUAACUAUAACGGUCCUAAGGUAGCGAAAUUCCUUGUCGGGUAAGUUCCGACCUGCACGAAUGGCGUAAUGAUGGCCAGGCUGUCUCCACCCGAGACUCAGUGAAAUUGAACUCGCUGUGAAGAUGCAGUGUACCCGCGGCAAGACGGAAAGACCCCGUGAACCUUUACUAUAGCUUGACACUGAACAUUGAGCCUUGAUGUGUAGGAUAGGUGGGAGGCUUUGAAGUGUGGACGCCAGUCUGCAUGGAGCCGACCUUGAAAUACCACCCUUUAAUGUUUGAUGUUCUAACGUGGACCCGUGAUCCGGGUUGCGGACAGUGUCUGGUGGGUAGUUUGACUGGGGCGGUCUCCUCCUAAAGAGUAACGGAGGAGCACGAAGGUUGGCUAAUCCUGGUCGGACAUCAGGAGGUUAGUGCAAUGGCAUAAGCCAGCUUGACUGCGAGCGUGACGGCGCGAGCAGGUGCGAAAGCAGGUCAUAGUGAUCCGGUGGUUCUGAAUGGAAGGGCCAUCGCUCAACGGAUAAAAGGUACUCCGGGGAUAACAGGCUGAUACCGCCCAAGAGUUCAUAUCGACGGCGGUGUUUGGCACCUCGAUGUCGGCUCAUCACAUCCUGGGGCUGAAGUAGGUCCCAAGGGUAUGGCUGUUCGCCAUUUAAAGUGGUACGCGAGCUGGGUUUAGAACGUCGUGAGACAGUUCGGUCCCUAUCUGCCGUGGGCGCUGGAGAACUGAGGGGGGCUGCUCCUAGUACGAGAGGACCGGAGUGGACGCAUCACUGGUGUUCGGGUUGUCAUGCCAAUGGCACUGCCCGGUAGCUAAAUGCGGAAGAGAUAAGUGCUGAAAGCAUCUAAGCACGAAACUUGCCCCGAGAUGAGUUCUCCCUGAGACUUAAAGUCUCCUGAAGGAACGUUGAAGACGACGACGUUGAUAGGCCGGGUGUGUAAGCGCAGCGAUGCGUUGAGCUAACCGGUACUAAUGAACCGUGAGGCUUAACCUUACAACGCCGAAG